rnacentral:rRNA from 1 species
AACGAACGCUGGCGGCAGGCCUAACACAUGCAAGUCGAGCGCCCCGCAAGGGGAGCGGCGGACGGGUGAGUAACGCGUGGGAACGUACCUUUUGCUUCGGAAUAGCCUCGGGAAACUGGGAGUAAUACCGAAUGUGCCCUACGGGGGAAAGAUUUAUCGGCAAAAGAUCGGCCCGCGUUGGAUUAGGUAGUUGGUGGGGUAAUGGCCUACCAAGCCGACGAUCCAUAGCUGGUUUGAGAGGAUGAUCAGCCACACUGGGACUGAGACACGGCCCAGACUCCUACGGGAGGCAGCAGUGGGGAAUCUUAGACAAUGGGCGCAAGCCUGAUCUAGCCAUGCCGCGUGAGCGAUGAAGGCCUUAGGGUUGUAAAGCUCUUUCGUGGGGGAAGAUAAUGACUGUACCCCAAGAAGAAGCCCCGGCUAACUCCGUGCCAGCAGCCGCAGUAACAC